rnacentral:lncRNA from 1 species
CGUCAUCCGAAUGACGUUCUGAUAUAGCUCAAACUCCUAGAACAGUUUGUUCCCCAUCCGAUUAGCUAUCAUCCAUCUGAAUGGCGUUUUGGUGACUCAACUAUUAAGACAGUUUACCUCUCAUCCAGAUGCUCUGCAACCGUUAAUCAAAACAUAAUCAUUUAUAAACUAGUAAGUUCCAAAUCAAGCCUAAUCAAAACCAA